UUUCCUCCGAAUUGAUCGACCUUCAAUCCUCAUCAAUGUUCGGCUUAAAAUACUUUGCACUUUUCAUGUAAAUUUUACAGUAAUUUUCAUCGCAUCUCUCCAGAAUUUCAGGAAAAAUGGAUAAGCAGAAGCCGAGCUUAGAUGCUUAUCUCCAGCAAGAUUUCCGCAUUCCUGACCAGUUGUUUGAAGAUAGUGAUGUCGGCAUCGAAGACAUGUGUAGCACAGUUGAGAUUGAGACGAGCGAGGAGGAAAAUUGCAAAGCUAAGAAUGUCGUCAAUGAUGGCGGUGAUGUUACAACUACAUCAGAAACUGUGCAAUCAUUCACUGUUGAAA